UACGAAGGGUGCAAACGUUGCUCGGAAUCAUUGGGCGUAAAGCGCACGUAGGCGGCUUCCUAAGUCAUACGUGAAAUCCCUCGGCUUAACCGGGGAACUGCGUCUGAUACUGGAUGGCUUGAGAUUGGGAGAGGGAUGCGGAAUUCCAGGUGUAGCGGUGAAAUGCGUAGAUAUCUGGAGGAACACCGGUGGCGAAGGCGGCAUCCUGGACCAACACUGACGCUGAGGAGCGAAAGCCAGGGGAGCAAACGGG
rnacentral:rRNA from 1 species